rnacentral:rRNA from 1 species
AAACAGAUGCUAAUACCGGAUAAAAAGACUACUUUCGUCAUGAAAGAAAGUUUAAAAAAGGUACGGCGUAAAGCUGUCGCUAAAGGAUGGACCUGCGAUGCAUUAGCUAGUUGGUAAGGUAAACGGCUUACCAAGGCGAUGAUGCAUAGCCGAGUUGAGAGACUGAUCGGCCACAUUGGGACUGAGACACGGCCCAAACUCCUACGGGAGGCAGCAGUAGGGAAUCUUCCACAAUGGACGCAAGUCUGAUGGAGCAACGCCGCGUGAGUGAAGAAGGUUUUCGGAUCGUAAAGCUCUGUUGUUGGUGAAGAAGGAUAGAGGUAGUAACUGGCCUUUAUUUGACGGUAAUCAACCAGAAAGUCACGGCUAACUACGUGCCAGCAGCCGCGGUAAAU